GACUUGAAGUUAGGUUGGAAAACCCGCUGAAUUUAAGCAUAUARGUAAGCGAAGGMCAWGAAACUAAACRGGAUUUCCUCAGUAAUGGCGAAUGAACAGGGACCAGCUCAACAUGGAAAUCGUGGCCUCUGGCUAUGAAUUGUAAUUUCAAGACGUAUUGCCAACGGUGGCGCAGAUGUAAACCUUUUGGAAAAGAGAACCAUKGAGGGUGAGAGUCCUGUUUGUCAUCUGCAGUCCUUCGUGUAAGGCAUACGCUCUAAGAGUCACGUUCCUCGGGAUUGGAGCGCAAAGUGGGUGGUAAAUUUCAUCUCAAGCUAAAUACAGAUUCGAGACCGAUAGCAAACAAGUACCAUGAGGGAAAGAUGAAAAGGACUUUGAAAAGAGAGUUAAAAGUGCUUGAACUUGCUGGAAGGAAAGCGGAUGGAACCAGUGCGGCUUGGUGAGAUUGUUGCGCGUUACAGUGACAGCGACCUGUGCUAGCGCAAGCGGCGCACGCCGCUUUGAUCUGAAUGCCCGUGAUGCUUCUUACCUUGUGGGUCAUCGUCAGCGUGGGGGCGAUGAUAACUCUUGGGACAUGGUAGCUCGCCUCUGGGAGAGUGAAUGGGCCUUGCGGAAUUUGUCCCCAUGCUGCGUCGAUGUUGCGAGGUCGAGUUGCCAAUCGACAGCGCCGCUUGCACUGCGAGUGGCAUGUGUUGAGUACUAGGGCACCUUCCUAACAACAACGGUGACRAAAUGGUUCCUUUCGACCCGUCUUGAAACACGGACCAAGGAGUCUAACAUACGUGCGAGUUCCUGGGUGGAAAAAUCUACGCGCGCAAUGAAAGUGAGUGCUGAGAUCCUUGCAUCAGCAGCCGACCGAUUAAUUGGGAGAGGUUUGAGCACGAGCACGCCUGUUAGGACCCGAAAGAUGGUGAACUAUGCCUGAGAAGGGCGAAGUCUGGGGAAACUCAGGUGGAGGCUCGUAGCGAUACUGACGUGCAAAUCGUUCGUCAUACUUGGGUAUAGGGGCGAAAGACUAAUCGAACCAUCUAGUAGCUGGUUCCCUCCGAAGUUUCCCUCAGGAUAGCUGGAGUUGAGUAGUUUUAUCAGGUAAAGCGAAUGAUUAGAGGAAUCGGGGGCGUGUUGCCCUCGACCUAUUCUCAAACUUUAAAUGGGUAAGCUCCAGUUGUUACUUCAUUGAACUUCUGGGAUAAAUUUUGACUCUAAGUGGGCCAUUUUUGGUAAGCAGAACKGGCGAUGAGGGAUGAACCUAACGUUGGGAUAAGGUGCUUAACUGCUCGCUCAUCAGAUACCAUAAAGGGUGUUGGUUCAUUUUAACAGCAGGACGGUGGUCAUGGAAGUCGAAAUCCGCUAAGGAGUGUGUAACAACUCACCYGCCGAAUGGACUAGCCCCGAAAAUGGAUGGCGCUUAAGCGGGUGACCGAUACCCAACCAUUGCUACUAUUGCGCUGUAGCGAUGAGUAGGAGGGCAUGGGGGUUGGCAGUGAAGCUU
rnacentral:rRNA from 1 species